AGUGAACGCUGGCGGUAGGCCUAACACAUGCAAGUCGAACGGCAGCACAGUAAGAGCUUGCUCUUACGGGUGGCGAGUGGCGGACGGGUGAGGAAUACAUCGGAAUCUACUUUUUCGUGGGGGAUAACGUAGGGAAACUUACGCUAAUACCGCAUACGACCUACGGGUGAAAGCAGGGGAUCUUCGGACCUUGCGCGAUUGAAUGAGCCGAUGUCGGAUUAGCUAGUUGGCGGGGUAAAGGCCCACCAAGGCGACGAUCCGUAGCUGGUCUGAGAGGAUGAUCAGCCACACUGGAACUGAGACACGGUCCAGACUCUUACGGGAGGCAGCAGUGGGGAAUAUUGGACAAUGGGCGCAAGCCUGAUCCAGCCAUACCGCGUGGGUGAAGAAGGCCUUCGGGUUGUAAAGCCCUUUUGUUGGGAAAGAAAAGCAGCAGGUUAAUACCCCGCUGUUCGGACGGUACCCAAAGAAUAAGCACCGGCUAACUGCGG
rnacentral:rRNA from 1 species